GGGGCCGGAGCAGGGAGAGGCGGUGGCUGGCACACGGAUGGGGCGGGCAGAAAGUCGAAAUCACCCCAGAAACACCCUGGGGGCUCCCGAAAACAGCAGAAGAAUUGAAUGGGCUCUGGAAAGCGACAGAGAGGAGGGUGGAGCCAGAGAAAUCAGCCGUGCCCAGCGCCCAGAGCAGGAGAGCAGGCCGAAACUCCAUCCCUGAGCACUGGCUCGCUUUCCUGCAGCACAGAGCCGUCAGGUCUGCUUGGGCUCAGUGCAGAUGAGAAAGGGCCCAACCUUCCCCUGGGGGGGCCCUCGAUCCAGGGCCUCCCCCUCCCCUCUGCCUUCCACCAUGGUCUCACGGAGCCUCCACCCCUCUGAUCCGAGCUGUGGCUUUCAAGAGCAUUGUGAGUGUCACUAGGGCUACUGGUCACACUUUUCCUUCUUUCCUCCUUUCAGAUAUGAUGUGGGAUUAUUCUUCCUGGUCUCCUUAUGGCCGGGGCAGGUGGGGGAUGUGUAACCAGCUCUGGCCAAUGAGUUCUGAGUGGAAAUAACCUGUCAUUUCUUAGCCAUAGUAUGCGAUGCUGACAGAAGAUCCUUUUCCUUUACUAUGACAACUAGCUGUGUUCCAGACUGCCUGUGCCAUAUCCCUGAGUCCAGGAGGGAAGAUGACAGGAGCCAUGGAGCACCUGACCCGUGACAGACAUGCAGCAUGAGCAAGCAAUGACCUCUGUUGUUGUAAACCGCUAAGGUCUGGGUUUGUUUGUUACUGCAGCAUAACAUAGACUGUCCUGGCUGAUAUGAGCAAACUCUUGGAGAUCAUGGGGCUAUCUAUAGGGCACUGUGAAGGUAAAAACCUUUACUUUCUUAUAUAAACUACAAUUAUUUUUUUAUUAGUUACACGUGACAGUACAAUGAUCUUGACAAUUCAUACAUUUGAAUCAAAUGGGGAACAGUUAUUAUUAAUAGUAAUGAGUAUCCCACAGGAAGCAACUACUACCUGUCGGGAAUUGUUCUAGUUUCUUUGGUAGAUGUUUUCUCAUUGAUCCCCACCACAGCCCUGUGGGUUUUGAAUUAUUGGCUUGUUCCGUGUCAAUCUCAUUGUAGAGCUCAAGGGACUGAGGUUCAGGGACACUCAAGGUUGCUGUGAUCACUACGACUAAGGGGUAGAAUUCAGAUCCAGAUGUUGGAGUCUCUAACUCCAAAACACUCACUUUCUCCAUCCCUGGGCUAUUAUUACCAUCCCAAGAAUAAAUAAAAUAUUUUUAAGAGGAAGGAUCUCUUUACAGGGAACACAUUAGCAUCUGCCUUCUGACUAAAUUGAAUGUGAAAGGUGAUCCCCACAGGCUGAACAAACAGGCUUGCCCUCGAGGGUGAUUAUUUCUGAGAUGGAAUCUGUCUGUGCUGUCCAGGAUCAUGUCUAGCUCCUGAGCUUAAGAGAUCCUCCUGCCUCAGCCUCCCGAGUGCUGGGAUCACAGGUGAGCACCGCGGCGCCUGGCUUGGUAUGUUAUUUGGCAAGGGAAUCUCCCUUUUUCUCCUCUGAUUGGGUGCUCCACCAGAUAAGCCACAGCAAGCACCAAAGGCUUAAGAAAAAUGUAAAGAGGCCAUUCACCCAUCAUGUUUUAAUGUUAUGAAUGAGCUGAGAGAUCGGAAGGGUGAGGAGUCUCAUUGCCUAGAGGUGAGCUUCUCCAGGACGGGAGCUCCCCAUUCUGACUUCUAAGUAAGCAUUUGGAUUUGCGUUCAUAUGAAAUGACACCGUUAUGUCUCCUAAACAUAGGUGAAAUGUCCCCUAAAAGCUCACGUGUGAGACAAUGCGAGAGGGUUCAGAGGAGAAAUAAUUAGGUUGUGAGAGCCUUAAACCAGUCAGUGAAUUCUUCCCCUGAUAGGGACUAACUGAGUGGUAACUGCAGGCAGCUGGGGUGUGGCUGGGGGGGCACUGGAGGCGUGGCUUUGGGGGAUAUGUUUGCAUCUGGCCAGUGGCAUCUCUCUCUGCUUCCAGUGGGCUGCUUCCCCCUGCCACCCUCUCCCACCUGGAGCCCGAGGAACGGAGCCAGCCUUCUGUGGACUGAGACCUCUGAAACGGAGCCCCUCAGGCUGAGAAACUGCCCCCUGGGGGGGGCACAUGACCUGGACUGUCCUCCCUUGGCAGUAGCGGCCACCGCUGGGCACCGCAGGAAGCGGAGGUGGAGGAGGGAACCUGUGGUCCUGCACCACGGCACCGUGGCCUGGAGAAGCCUUCAAGGAGACCCGCCCUGGCCCUGGAGGGACACCCGCCCUCCCUGGGGGUUCCCAUCCCCCUCUGCCACAGGAACAGCCUCUUGCCCAGCAGCCUCCACUGUAGACAGCAAGCAGGGCCACCCUCCCUGGCCACAUUAAAGGAGAGCAGAUAGGUCCCAGCUGUGAAUACACACCCCCUCUGCACCCACAUGGUCCUGGAGCCCGUGUGCAAGACAGAGGCCGACCCACUCCCAACCACACUGACAACCACACCAAUACGCACAACUCGGAACCAUGUCACCUGGCUGGGAAAACCACGAGGUCCAACAAUGCCAGGGCUGGACAGAAAGUGGAAUGACAGAGGUCCCCAAAUUCCACGGGUGGAAGUGUAAAUGGACACAAUCAUUCUGGAAAAUAAACUGUAUUAUCUAAGAGAA